rnacentral:rRNA from 1 species
UGCGUCUCUAAUACCGGAUAUGACUUCUCAUCGCAUGGUGAGGGGUGGAAAGCUCCGGCGGUACAGGAUGAGCCCGCGGCCUAUCAGCUUGUUGGUGGGGUAAUGGCCUACCAAGGCGACGACGGGUAGCCGGCCUGAGAGGGUGACCGGCCACACUGGGACUGAGACACGGCCCAGACUCCUACGGGAGGCAGCAGUGGGGAAUAUUGCACAAUGGGCGAAAGCCUGAUGCAGCGACGCCGCGUGAGGGAUGACGGCCUUCGGGUUGUAAACCUCUUUCGCCAGGGACGAAGCGCAAGUGACGGUACCUGGAUAAGAAGCACCGGCUAACUACGUGCCAGCAGCCGCGGUAAUACGUAGGGUGCGAGCGUUGUCCGGAAUUAUUGGGCGUAAAGAGCUCGUAGGCGGUUUGUCGCGUCGUUCGUGAAAACUCCACGCUUAACGUGGAGCGUGCGGGCGAUACGGGCAGACUUGAGUUCGGUAGGGGAGACUGGAAUUCCUGGUGUAGCGGUGAAAUGCGCAGAUAUCAGGAGGAACACCGGUGGCGAAGGCGGGUCUCUGGGCCGAUACUGACGCUGAGGAGCGAAAGCUGG